GAUGAAGAACGCAGCGAAAUGCGAUAAGUAAUGUGAAUUGCAGAAUUCAGUGAAUCAUCGAAUCUUUGAACGCACAUUGCGCCCGUCAGUAUUCUGGCGGGCAUGCCUGUUCGAGCGUCAUUACGCCCCUCAAGUCCCCUGUGGACUUGGUGUUGGGGAUCGGCGAGGCUGGUUUUCCAGCACAGCCGUCCCUUAAAUUAAUUGGCGGUCUCGCCGUGGCCCUCCUCUGCGCAGUAGUAAAACACUCGCAACAGGAGCCCGGCGCGGUCCACUGCCGUAAAACCCCCCAACUUUUUAUAGUUGACCUCGAAUCAGGUAGGACUACCCGCUGAACUUAAGCAUAUCAAUAGCGGAGGA
rnacentral:misc_RNA from 1 species